rnacentral:tRNA from 1 species
GCUGUGAUGGCCAAGUGGUUAAGGCAUUAGACUUGAAAUCCAAUAGGGUUUCCUCACACAGGUUCAAACUCUGCUCAUAGCU